ACAAACCCAUGCUCUGCUAACGGGGUAGGAUCUGACGCCUCCGCGAAGGCUAACAUAGGCUCUCCUACUCAACUCCCAUUCCGGCACGUCCAAGCCGUGCAGAGCGGUAACAUGCGUUAGCAACGGGUACAAGGGUAUGGCUGCACCCUUUCUACUUUUUGGUCGAAGUAGAUGGUAACGCAUGGCCAAGCCGGAGGGA
rfam:Anopheles minimus strain MINIMTS1 unplaced genomic scaffold supercont1.3, whole genome shotgun sequence.